rnacentral:rRNA from 1 species
GACGAACGCUGGCGGCGUGCUUAACACAUGCAAGUCGAACGAUGACGCCCGAGCUUGCUCGGUCUGAUUAGUGGCGAACGGGUGAGUAACACGUGAGCAACCUGCCCUUCACUCUGGGAUAACCUCGGGAAAUCGGGGCUAAUACCGGAUAUGAGCUCCUGUCGCAUGGCGGGUGUUGGAAAGUUUUUCGGUGAAGGAUGGGCUCGCGGCCUAUCAGUUUGUUGGUGAGGUAGUGGCUCACCAAGGCGAUGACGGGUAGCCGGCCUGAGAGGGCGACCGGCCACACUGGGACUGAGACACGGCCCAGACUCCUACGGGAGGCAGCAGUGGGGAAUAUUGCACAAUGGGCGAAAGCCUGAUGCAGCGACGCCGCGUGAGGGAUGACGGCCUUCGGGUUGUAAACCUCUUUCAUCAGGGAAGAAGCGAAAGUGACGGUACCUGCAGAAGAAGCGCCGGCUAACUACGUG